rnacentral:misc_RNA from 1 species
GAUGAAGAACGUAGCGAAAUGCGAUACUUGGUGUGAAUUGCAGAAUCCCGUGAACCAUCGAGUCUUUGAACGCAAGUUGCGCCCGAAGCCACUAGGCCGAGGGCACGCCUGCCUGGGCGUCACACGCCGUUGCCCCCCCAUCUACUCCUUCGGGAUUGCGGGGGGGCGGAUGAUGGCCUCCCGUGCGCCUAGCCGCGCGGUUGGCAUAAAUACCAAGUCCUCGGCGACGCACGCCACGACAAUCGGUGGUUGCGAAACCUCGGUUGCCCGUCGUGUGCGUUCGUCGCGCAUCGAGGGCUCGAAAAAAUGCUCGGCUCCGGCUGGGCUUUCAACGCGAGCCCAGGUCAGGCGGGGUUACCCGCUGAAUUUAAGCAUAUCAAUAAGCGGAGGA